AUUGAACGCUGGCGGCAGGCCUAACACAUGCAAGUCGAGCGGAUGAAGGGAGCUUGCUCCUGGAUUCAGCGGCGGACGGGUGAGUAAUGCCUAGGAAUCUGCCUGGUAGUGGGGGAUAACGUCCGGAAACGGGCGCUAAUACCGCAUCCGUCCUGCGGGAGAAAGUGGGGGAUCUUCGGACCUCACGCUCUCAGAUGAGCCUAGGUCGGAGUAGCUAGUUGGUGGGGUAAAGGCCUACCAAGGCGCCGAUCUGUAACUGGUCUGAGAGGAUUAUCAGUCACACGGAAACUGAGACACGGUCCAGACCCCUACGGGAGGCAACAGGGGGGAAUAUUGGACAGGGGGCGAAAGCCUGAGCCAGCCAUGCCGCGUGUGUGAAGAAGGUCUUCGGAUUGUAAAGCACUUUAAGUUGGAAGGAAGGUCAGUAAGUUAAUACCUUGCUGUUUUGACGUUACCAACAGAAUAAGCACCGGCUAACUUCGU
rnacentral:rRNA from 1 species